rnacentral:rRNA from 1 species
UACGUAGGGGGCUAGCGUUGUCCGGAAUCAUUGGGCGUAAAGCGCGCGUAGGCGGCCCGGUAAGUCCGCUGUGAAAGUCAAAGGCUCAACCUUUGAAUGUCAGCGGAUACUGCCGGGCUAGAGUCCGGAAGAGGCGAGUGGAACUCCUGGUGUAGCGGUGAAAUGCGUAGAUAUCGGGAGGAACACCUGUGGCGAAAGCGGCGCACUGGACCACAUCUGACGCUGAGGCGCGAAAGCUAGGGGAGCAAACAGG